ensembl:lncRNA CPB2-AS1 CPB2 antisense RNA 1
AAGGUUCCAUGCGAGCGGUAAGAGUGCGGCGGGACUUGGAAAUCGAAUCUGUGCUCUGUGAGAGAUCCUAGGAAAGGAAACUGGGAGCCCGGGAGAACUAAAAUUCCCAAUUAAAAGUGAAUUUAAAUCUGAGCUGUUCUUAGACCCAGAAUUUCUUGCCUGAAGGAGGAAUCAGGUCCCCACAAGGAAAGACCCUGCAACUGUAUAAAAAAAGAAUCUAAAAAGAUCAUGACUCCUUCAGUCCUUUCCCAAAGAGACCUAUGGAAAUUUCCUCAGGAGCACCCACAACAGAAUAGACAUUAAACAGCUGCAUAAACAAAUGACUCAGCCAGUUGAUGUCAGUCAGCCUGUGUCAACAGCCACCCCAAUGCUGGCACAAAAGGCACUAGAACAGAAUAGCCUGAUGGCAGAGAUGAAGUGUGCAUGGCUCCAGCAGCACGGACUCCUCUCAUUAAGGCUGAUCUAGCUACUGUUGCUGCCCCAUGUCUAACUUGCCAGCAACGGAGACCAAAGUUGAGCCCCGGAAUCAGCACCAUUCCUCAUAGAGACCAGCUAGUCACUGGGUGGAAGAGGGACCAAGCAAAACCCCAGAAGAGUUGAUCUCAAAGCUUAUUUUAUGAAGAAAAUUGACCUGAGUGACACAAAGGGUUGGACUGUAGUAGAUGUCACGUUUUGCUGCCUAGAUCUCCAUCCAGGGAUGAACUCUUAUUUCCUCAGCUUCUUUGUCUCCUCAGCUUCUGGGAGGGUUGGCAGCUGAUAUUCUCACCUGAGUCCCUUUCUAGGACUUGCCCUUGCCUGAAGAGAGCUGUGCUGCCCAACAUGAUGCCUCCUCCAAGGUACAAUCCACACCCAGUGACUAAUAAACAGGGGUUACAAAGGCAUGCCUGCUUGCCCCAGUUUGGGACAACUUUACCAGGCCAACCCAGCCUCAAGGCUCUCCACAGGAACAGUUGUGUUUGCAGAGAGCAACUUUGAGAUGCCUCUCUGUGGAUCCUGUCACCUCUACUGGGGAGCAAAAAGAACACAGAAGUUGGAGCCGACGGAUCCCAUGCCUAGCUGGGUAAUUAGGCAAAUCUCAGCCUCUGGAAAUGCAGCUUCUUCUGUAACCUACCUCAGAGGGCUGUUGUGAGGAUUGAAUGGGGUAACAUUUAAACUAACUGGCAAAAGCAGGUUCUCAAUAUAUUAAAAUUCACAUGAAAAAGAUAAACCAGGAAGGGAGUUGGCAGGAAGCCAGGAAGCCUCCUGUGUUCUCUGCAGGAGGCUUAUCUAGUUCAUCAGGAUCUUGGGAACAGCUAGUCUUCCUCUGCUGCAUUCUGAGAGUUAGGUGAUGAGUCACCACCUCAAGAGGCCAUCUAGUUCUGGCCGAUCUAUCUGACUGGAUCGUGGACCCUAGGACCCAGCUAACUUGUUCUCCAGCCAAUUUAGAAGAAUGAGUAGCAAAAAUAAUAUGGCAAGUAUUUCUUGAAGUGCCCUAACCCUCUGUCCUUAUUAGUGUACCCUGUCAGGAGUGGCCUGCCUUGACUUUCUGUCAAACUGGAGCAGCCUGAGACUAAGGGCAAAUGCCCUCUUGGCCUUGGCCGGCCACAACUUGGAUAUGCAGGUCAGGCUUAUUGUUAGGGAAGCUCUGAGACUCAAUUAAUCUGAUGCCUUUUUAUUAUGAGUUCAGGUGCAGCUCCAUUUACAAGUUUUUCUUUCAAAAUCAUUCAGCCAUUAAAGCUGCAUAAUCUUGGAAGGUUUUGAAGACGCAUGAUUGGUAAAUGUUUUUCCCCUUCACACAUUAUCUCUCAUGUUUAUUCAUGAAAAGUGAACCAGUCUUAUAAUUUAAACAGUGUCUUGGGGUAUCUGGCCUCCUGUAUUUCUAAGGGGGAGGAAAGAUGAGGCUAGCCCAGAAGCCAUUUAAAAAGGGGAUUUGAGGCCUGAACGCAGAGAACUCAAUCCCAGGUACUAAUGACCUUGCUUUGGCUUGCAAGACUAAGCCUGAGGCCUGUGGCACUUAAGAGGGUUACUGGGUACCCAGACAGGCAAAUGCCUGUUGAUUGGAUGGCUAAAUUGUGAAGAAAGCAAAGCUUACCUGUGCAAUGUGUCCAUGCCUUCAUUCCUACUUUCUGAAUCAACAGUGCCUGUUAUUGUUCUGCCCAACUGUUAAGAUGUUCCACCUGUGCCUGCUCUUUGGCGCAGUACUCCAGGCUAUAGAUCAACAUUUCUCAAACCUGGCUGCACAUUAGAGUCAUCUGGGGAUCUUUUAAAAACCCAGCUGCCUUGGCUGCACAUCUGAUCAUUACGUCAGACUCUUGUAGGGAGGAGUAUAGACAUCAGCAUUGAUUAAAACUCCUGAGAUAAUUCCAAUGUGCAGUCAGGAUUGAGAACAGCUGGUCUACACCAGUUCCUCUUGAAGUAUGGUCUGUAAGUCACAGGCUGCAGAAUCUCCUUGGAUGUUUGUGGGAAAUGCAGAUUGCUAGGUUCACCAGCCCUAUAGGCACUGAGUCUCAAGGUGAGAUCUGGAAAAUGUGUUUUAAUAAGCUCCCCAGGUGAUUCCUAAGCUUUUUGCAAGUACCGCUGCUUCUUAUGAUAUGGCCGUUCUUGCUUCCCAUCAGUUAUCCUUGUCUUUCAGUUCCUCAAAGAUAUCAAGUUUCAUUCAUCCUCAGGACCACUGCAUAUGAUAGUCGCUCUACUUGGAAGACAUUUUCCUCUUUCUCCUUGUUAUUAGGCAUUUGGCAGACUUAACAAUGAGGCUAUUGUAACCCCAGAAAGUCAUUGCAAAGUGCCUGCUUAGGGGGUUAAGAGUAGACACUGCAGGGCCUUGGAAUAGUAAUGGUUUACUAUUUAAUGAGUUCCCUGUCACUGGAAGUCAUAGAGAGAUUGCUCCAGGCAUGGUGGGAGAAAAGCCAGUUUGACAGGCGGUGGAGGGAUAAGAGGGAAGACUUGAGUGACGUGGCACAAACUGGGUCAGAUCUAUUAAAGAGGCAGCCCUGGGCAGCUGGCAAGAGAUCAUGUCAAGAGACACAAUGCAGGUGCCAGCAGGACCAGAAGAUCAGCUUCUUAGAGCGAGUGCCACCUGGAAGGGGGAAACCAAGGGAAGGGGCACAGCAAAGGGCAAAGCUGGGUGGUGGAGGAAGUACCCAAACAGAGGGAAGAGCCACUCUGGCCACAUCAAGUGAAUACUGAUGAUCGGGAAACAUUCAUGGGAAGUUAUUUCACUCUCUCGAGUCCAGUGUAAGUGAGAAAGUGUAAUUUAAUUUAAAAGAGCCUAAUUUAGCCUUCCAUCAACUGUAGAUCUUUUAACGAGACCUUUAUUCUUCUAGGACAGCAUUUCUCAAACUUUAAUGUGCGUAGGAAUCUUAUUAAAAUGCAGAUUCUGAUUCAGUACGUCUGGGGUAAGGGCUGAGAUUCAGCACUUCUAACCGGCUCCUAGAUGCCCCCGGUCUGAGCACUACACUUAGAGCAAGCAGGUUUGAACAUUGCGACUUAUAACAGUGGACCCAUGGUGUAGACAAGUCCAGAAAUGACUGCUGAAUCAACAGUUUUUAUGUUAGCUUCCGUAUACCUUCAGAAUUCAGUGUUUGUGUGCAUUCUAAUUCUCUAAAUGAUGUAUAUUAGAUUUCCAUUAACGAAAAUAUAUGUU